UAUUGGGCUGGCACAAAAGUAAUCAUGGUGUUUGCCAUUAAAAGUAAUAGCAAAACUGCAAUUACUUUUGCACCAACCUGAUAGAAAAUAACUACAAUUUA